UAAGCCGUAGCCAUAAAACAUUAGAACCAUUUUAUUAAUACUUCAACCUGGUGGAAGAAGCCCCGCCCCGCUGCACACACCACGCAAUCGCGUGGAGACAAACCGGAAGUCUCAGGAUCCACCAGGCGGAAGUAGAGACUGACCCGGAUAUGGCACGAGGGAGGCGUCUAGACCCCGCCCUGUAGAACGCCCAGUUUUCCGAUGACCCGGAAGCAGUCCUUUCUUGCCAGAGUGAGUGCUGGUGUUUCUGAAUCACAACCGGGUUCUCUUGCCCCCAUCGCCUUGUCUUCUGCCCCUGGGUCCGUGAUUGGCCUCGGAGGCCACAAUCCCUACAGCCACCCGCAGAACUCUUGGGUCGUCUUCAGAGGCAGUCAGGAGUCCUCACAGGGAGCUUCUCCUCGGGAUGGAUCCACAAUUUUUCAGUGCUUGAAUUUUGGAAGUUCUAAUGGAAGUGCAGCACGGUAUCUUCUCCUUUGAGGAAAGUGGAUAGAAAUAAUAAGAAAAAUACAAGUUCGGAAUACAAAA